GGUGGCCAGCUCCACACUGAGCUCAUUCAGCUGCUGCCGAGGUCCACUCCCAGAGAGACCAGGGCCCAUAAGACCAGAUCUGUUCCCCCUGAAGCCGGUAUUAUGGCAGCUCUGACAACAACAGGGCCUAUGUAAACAGCCCAGAGCCGUGCCUUUCCAUCACAUCUCAACACUGCCAACAUUCAGCCAGGAGACUCGGAAAACUGUGAGACAUGAUGGGAGGAGCUGAAGGCCAAAGGUGUGGCCGUGACAGGGCUUUGAUCCUCACCUCAUCAUCUCUUUUUUUACUUCACUACAUGAGGCACAUCUCUCAUAUGACCAAUCCGGUUAAGCUCCAGGUUGUGAGUUUAAAAGUCCCAGUGAGCAGCAGCAGCAGCAGCAGCAGAGAGCUCAGGAUGCUCGGCUGAGUGCAGAGGAAAGAGACUGGGACCAGGUCAGGCUUCAAACCUCAGAGGGAAACACCAACGUCAAGCUGCUCACACUGAAGUGUGAGGUGCUCUCAUUACUGUUUUCAAAAUAAAAGCAGACUGCAGCUUCAGAUGUUUCUCUGCGGCUCUGCAGGUGGUUGAGUUAAUCACAGUGUGCGGGUAAAAUAUUUUGUUCACACUCACGAUGUGAGUAGAUGUGAGUAUACCUUUUGUUAGAAGUGUACAGCUCAUUGGGAAGCUUGCAUGCAAAUGUUGUUUUGAUGUACAAUCAAGCAUUCAACUGCAUUUUACUCACAUAAGAAGAAUUAAUUCACUCUAAAUGUGAAAGAUCAUUUUGACAUUUUUUAUCUUGAACUACUGACAUGAGUGAGUUUGUGUCAGGAAGUACUUUUAGGACACCAAGUAAGAGAAACCUAUAGCUUAUAACACAAUUUGUAAACACUCCCACAUAUUUUAGGAAUCAUUAUUAGAUUAAAAUCUAGAUGCCACAGAUCUGCCGAAUCAGUGAAGAAUCUCAUUCACCUGUUUAAUCAAGUUUUGGUUUAAUUUAUUUUGGUUGAUUGUAAUUUACUUUCUGUCAAUCAAGUAGUGUGUCAAGUUAUUUCGGUCAAGAUCAACCCUAACCGUAAACCCAAAAUAAUUAGAGGUACUGUAUUAAACUAAGAAUAUGAAUUUUCUGUUCAUUUGUAGUUCUGGUAUUAGUACUAGUCGUAGCAGCAGUAGUAGUAUAAGAAUCAGUCUUGUUGUUUCCACUUGUUUGUAUGGUCUGUCGUUUUUUUGUACAUUCAAAACAAGUUAUGCUUUUAUUUUGAAGGAAACGUAACUGGGGCUUUUUUGCAUUUUGAGGGAGGUAAGAGGGGUUGAGGUAGGAGAUGCCAUUCCACCCACUGGGUAUAGAAAUGAGGUAAUGAUCCCCUUUAGUGGGGAUAGUAGUAUAAUCAGACUUUAAAUCAGAGCCCCCACAAAAUGCUUAUAAAAGGGCCUUGACUCAGUACUGAGUUUGUAAUAAAUGAAUUGCUCUGUGUAGUAUUUUUAUCCAUCAUCAACUCUGAAGUGAUCCCCAUUUGUUUCUACACACAACAUAAUCUUGAACAGAACUGCAACAGAUUUCACACGAUCCUCGGCUCUGUUGUCCUGCCGUCACCUUCGGGCUCUUUAAUGGGCUCCGAAAACAUUGGAGAGUAUCACGCCUCGCCCCUUUAACUUCUCCCCACUCGCUUGCUUUUGCUCCUGAAAAGGAAAAAAAAAAAGGGGGUGAGACAAAGCUGUUCUUUCAGUCAGGUACCACUGAGAGCUCAUUGGGCAGAAAAUGUGUAAUCACAGAGUAUUCACACGCCUAAAAAUGUUGUUGCUACGGAUACAAAUGAACCCCACUUAACUUAUAAUGGGGGUUGAAGUUUAAGUGGCACAUAAUGACAGAAAUGCUCCAACAGCAGCACAUAUUAAGUUUUUUAUGCUGUGAAGUUGCACAAUUUCUUUCCUCCUCAACCUUUUGUACUGUUUUUAGUGAAAUAUAAAUCACCAGGGAGGUUUCAGUCUGAUGAUUUUAAUGCUUAAAGCCUACUGUACUGGAGUUAGGCGAGCAAGGUCAGCAUCAGUCCCUGGGCCUAUAAUGGUGGAGGCUUGUUAGGGUAGCAUAGGGCAGGG
ensembl:lncRNA